rnacentral:rRNA from 1 species
UACGUAGGGUGCAAGCGUUUGUCCGGAAUUAUUGGGCGUAAAGAGCUCGUAGGCGGUCUGUCACGUCGGCUGUGAAAACCCGAGGCUCAACCUCGGGCCUGCAGUCGAUACGGGCAAACUAGAGUGUUUGCAGGGGAGACUGGAAUUCCUGGUGUAGCGGUGAAAUGCGCAGAUAUCAGGAGGAACACCGGUGGCGAAGGCGGGUCUCUGGGCAACAACUGACGCUGGAGGAG